rnacentral:rRNA from 1 species
UACGGAGGAUGCGAGCGUUAUCCGGAUUUAUUGGGUUUAAAGGGUGCGUAGGUUGUUUUUUAAGUCAGCGGUGAAAGUUUGCGGCUCAACCGUAAAAUUGCAGUUGAAACUGGCAGUCUUGAGUACAGUAGAGGUGGGCGGAAUUCGUGGUGUAGCGGUGAAAUGCUUAGAUAUCACGAAGAACUCCGAUUGCGAAGGCAGCAUGCCGGCUCCACACUGACGCUGAGGCACGAAAGCGUGGGUAUCGAACAGG